GAAGGCUUCUUGAUGCUCUAACAGGAAGUUAUGCUUUUUAAAGAGCGAAAAGAUCAUCAGGAAGGCUGCUGUAUUUUAAUCCAGAAAACAACAUGCCAUGCAAGGCUUGGCAACACGAAUGCCAGUUGGCCAAAAGGAUGUUAUUAUGUGGUUUCCGGAGAAAGUCAAUGUGAAGGCAAUCGAGGAUUUCGCUUGUUCCAUUAAUUAUGAUGAUCACCAUUAAUGUGUGUUGUUGACAAUGACAAGGCAAUCGAAGGAUGCGAGCACAAUGGCAAGGGAUGAAUGCCAAACCCGUGGAACCACCCUACGGACCAAAUACAUGCCCGGGAGAGGAGAAGGAAGGCAAUACAAGCUAAGAGCCACAGGCCGAGAGGGUACAAUUAUGUUCAUGGAUGCUUCUAUUAUUUAUUCCCAGUUUGUCACAAUUUGUCUGUGGCACGAUG